rnacentral:rRNA from 1 species
AGAGUUUGAUCCUGGCUCAGGAUGAACGCUGGCGGCGUGCCUAACACAUGCAAGUCGAGCGAGAAGCUACCUAUGACCCUUCGGGUGAAUAGACUAGUGGACAGCGGCGGACGGGUGAGUAACGCGUAAAUAACCUGCCAUACACACAAGGAUAGCCAUCGGAAACGGUGAUUAAUACUUGAUGAGGCUACAGAUUCGCAUGAAUCAGUAGUUAAAGAAUUUUGGUGUAUGAUGGAUUUGCGUUUGAUUAGCUAGUUGGUAAGGUAAAAGCUUACCAAGGCGAUGAUCAAUAGCCGGCCUGAGAGGGUGAACGGCCACACUGGAACUGAGACACGGUCCAGACUCCUACGGGAGGCAGCAGUGGGGAAUAUUGCACAAUGGAGGGAACUCUGAUGCAGCAACGCCGCGUGAACGAAGAAGGCUUUCGAGUCGUAAAGUUCUGUUAUAGGGGAAGAAGCAGUGACGGUACCCUAUGAGAAAGCCACGGCUAAUUACGUGCCAGCAGCCGCGGUAAUACGUAAGUGGCAAGCGUUAUCCGGAAUUACUGGGCAUAAAGAGUUCGUAGGCGGUUAAACAAGCCAAUAGUGAAAUCCACCAGCCUAACUGGUGUCAGCUAAUGGAACUGUGUAACUUGAGUACAGGAGAGGAAAGUGGAAUUCCUAGUGUAGUAGUGAAAUGCGUAGAUAUUAGGAAGAACAUCAGUAGCGAAGGCGACUUUCUGGACUGUAACUGACGCUGAGGAACGAAAGCGUGGGGAGCGAACAGGAUUAGAUACCCUGGUAGUCCACGCCGUAAACGAUGGAUACUUGGUGUUGGCCGUAAAGGUCGGUGCCGGAGCAAAUGUAUUAAGUAUCCCGCCUGGGGAGUACGGUCGCAAGGCUGAAACUCAAAAGAAUUGACGGGGACCCGCACAAGCAGCGGAGCAUGUGGUUUAAUUCGAAGCGACGCGAAGAACCUUACCAAAUCUUGACAUAUCAAAGCUAUCUGAGUAAAAUUGGAGUUCCAUUUGGACUUUGACUACAGGUGGUGCAUGGUUGUCGUCAGCUCGUGUCGUGAGAUGUUGGGUUAAGUCCCGUAACGAGCGCAACCCUUAUUUUUAGUUGCUAACAGGUAAUGCUGAGGACUCUAGAGAGACUGCCGAUGAAAAAAUCGGAGGAAGGUGGGGAUGACGUCAAAUCAUCAUGCCCCUUAUGAUUCGGGCUACACACGUGCUACAAUGGCCGGUACAACGGGUAAGCGAAAGGGUGACCUGGAGCCAAUCCUCACAAGCCGGUCCCAGUUCGGAUUGCAGAUUGAAACUCAUCUGUAUGAAGUUGGAGUUGCUAGUAAUCGCGGAUCAGAAUGUCGCGGUGAAUGCGUUCCCGGGUCUUGUACACACCGCCCGUCACACCAUGGAAGUUGGAGGCACCCGAAGUCAGUGUAACUGCCGAAGGUGAAAUCGAUAACUAGGGUGAAGUCGUAACAAGGUAACC